UCUCGAACUGCUCUUUCAUUGUUUUCGGUUUUGCUGUCCGUGGCUCUGUCUCGCUAUCUUCUUUCUCGGUCUCACUUGCUCUCAGACUGGAUAGUUUUUCGACUUGGAAGGAAAUCGGUUUCGAGGUUUGCCAGAUUUGUGGAGUUGUGAUUGGGGGUUGAAGAUUUUGGUGUUUUUGCGUUUGUUUUCAUCUGCGAUUGACGAAUUUUGGCCGGAUCUGUUCCCUGUUUUUUUUCUCUGUUUGAACGACGGCUGCCUUUCGGUUGUUAAGCGACGACUGUCUUUAGAUCGUUGGAGAAUAAAUUUAUUACAACUGAGGUCCUGCUGACACCAACUCAUCUAGCCAUUGUGAUGGAGUAACUGGGGGAGAACUCUUCGAGAGAAUAAUCAGUGCUGGCAGAUUUAGUGAGGAUGAGGAAUACUCAACCGCGGUUCCAAUUCAUCGUUAUGAAUCGGUGCAAUACGGGUACAAAUUCUUUAUACCCACGCUUAUUGAGGUGAAGUUUGCAAUCCAAUACAUGAGAAGAGUUAUCCAGAAAAAGGCAAAAUAUGACAUAUUAACGUGAACACCAUUAAGAUGUGUGCUUUUCAAGCUUUGUUAUAUCAAAUUUUAAUGCACUUGAUACUUACUUCAGAAUCAUUGGCAUUGAUCAAAUAAGGCAGGCGAGAGAAAAGAAAUUGACAAAGCAGAAAGCUUUAGUGAAAGCUAGAAAGCUUCAGUGAAAGCUAGAAAGCUUCAGGCUAGCAACAGAAAAGGAAUUGACAAAGCAGAAAGCUUUAGAGAAAGCUAGAAAGCUUCAGAUAAUAAUUGUGAAUAUAUUUUGGGUUAUUCUUCUUUUCAUAAGCUCGAAGUGCAAAUGGUACUUGAAAUGCAAUGCUUAUUUUGUGGUUCACAAUUUUCCUGAAAGGUUACAUACAUAUGGUUUAUACAAAGUAAGAGUUUCUGGUGAUGGGAAUUAUCAGAUAUCUGCAAUAAUGAGAAUGCAAAGUAAUAGGUUUGUCAUUUUUUUAUUUAUAUUAAUUUCUUAUUGUUUCGCAGAUUAAUAAUUAUGAGACUGAUUAUAUUUAUUGUGUUACUGUGUGUUGCAAGGUAUAAAUUCUAAUAUGAAUUCUUCAGCUGAUUUGGGGCAGGUGAUAUGAACUUUUAUCUAAAGUUUAUUUGUUUUGUUUCUUCACGAUGCUUAAUGUCAUCCGGAAACAAAUAGUAUUUAUCAUCACCAAGUGGUACAAAAAGUAUUUUAAAUUGUUCUUUAACCAAUCUAUCGCCAAGUUUUCCAAUGGGUUUCUUAUUUUAUUAUCCAUUUUUUCUUUUGCAAUAAACCAAAGUCUUUCCAUGCUCGAGAGUUAAUGUGUGCUCAAAGAGUUAAUUUGUUUUGUUUGAUCAUUCUGUUAUAAUAUUCUAAGUAGUUGCAAGUUUUAAAAAAGGAGGAUAGGUCUUUUUGUUCGCUGAGAAAAAGGGAAAUGUAGGGAGACAGGUCUGUUAUAUGAACAAAUUAGCAUGGUUCAUCCUAAUGCUAUAUAAGUUAGGUUACUGAUUUGUUCAUCCUAAUGGUAUAUAAGUUAGGUUAUUGAUUUGUUUCCUCAUUUCUUCAUUGGUGAUUCGUAUUUUCAGUGAUUUUAAGAAUGGGUAAUAAGUUUUUGUCAAGAGUUAAUGUGUUUAGUUUCAUUUUUUCUAAUUUCUGUUCUAUAUGGUUUUGUGUCAUGUGAGUGGAGUUUCAUCUGAUUCGAGGUUCUAAAAGAGAAACAUAACUUUUUAUUUAUUUGGUCAGAGGAGGGGGGAGGAAGUUCUGUUCAAAUUUGGUUUUUCCAAUGGCUUUGGAAGAAAUUAUAUCGCUAUUGUUAUUACAGGUGUCCAGUUUGCAAAUGACAAGGUAUGCUACAAUCUAUUCUUCUUUGGUAGAUUUGAUUCAAAUUGGUAGAUUUCGGCAAGAAAUAAACUUUUAUCUUUUCUUUUAGUUAAAGACAGUUAGGACAUCAAUUUGUAAAAGAUAUGAAUAUUAACAAUGGUGAUAGAACCAUCAAUCCAUAUAGUUGUAAAUAGAUUUGAACAUAUAUGUAAAUAUUAUAUAUUAUUGCAUAUCGUGUGUAUUUAUA
rnacentral:sRNA from 1 species